AUGGCGGAAUAUUUCCGAGAUGUUAAUAAGCAAGACGUGCUUUUAUUUAUCGAUAAUAUCUUUCGUUUUGUUCAAGCAGGAUCAGAGGUAUCCGCUUUAUUAGGGAGAAUGCCCUCCGCAGUGGGUUAUCAACCUACUCUUAGUACAGAAAUGGGUUCUUUGCAAGAAAGAAUUGCUUCUACUAAAAAGGGAUCUAUAACUUCGAUUCAAGCAGUUUAUGUACCUGCAGACGAUUUGACCGACCCUGCCCCUGCCACAACAUUUGCACAUUUGGAUGCUACUACCGUACUUUCCAGAGGAUUAGCUUCCAAGGGUAUUUAUCCAGCAGUAGAUCCUUUAGAUUCAACCUCGACUAUGUUACAGCCUCGGAUCGUUGGCAACGAACAUUAUGAAACUGCGCAAAGAGUUAGGAAACUUUACAACGUUACAAAGAACUUCAGGACAUUAUCGCAAUUCUUGGCUUGGAUGAAUUAUCGGAAGAGGAUCGUUUAA
rnacentral:rRNA from 1 species